AGUGAACGCUGGCGGUAGGCCUAACACAUGCAAGUCGAACGGCAGCACAGUAAGAGCUUGCUCUUACGGGUGGCGAGUGGCGGACGGGUGAGGAAUACAUCGGAAUCUACUUUUUCGUGGGGGAUAACGUAGGGAAACUUACGCUAAUACCGCAUACGACCUACGGGUGAAAGCAGGGGAUCUUCGGACCUUGCGCGAUUGAAUGAGCCGAUGUCGGAUUAGCUAGUUGGCGGGGUAAAGGCCCACCAAGGCGACGAUCCGUAGCUGGUCUGAGAGGAUGAUCAGCCACACUGGAACUGAGACACGGUCCAGACUCCGACGGGAGGCAGCAGUGGGGAAUAUUGGACAAUGGGCGCAAGCCUGAUCCAGCCAGACCGCGUGGGUGAAGAAGGCCUUCGGGUUGUAAAGCCCUUUUGUUGGGAAAGAAAAGCAGCAGGUUAAUACCCCGCUGUUCUGACGGUACCCAAAGAAUAAGCACCGGCUAACUUCGU
rnacentral:rRNA from 1 species